rnacentral:misc_RNA from 1 species
UCUUUAAUUUCUCAUUUCCAGCAUGUCAAGAAACCCGUUUCUUGAAGUUCUUGAAAUUUUGUUCUUCCUCCGCCUUGUUUCUAAUUUCUUUUUUUCUUUUCUCGAGAACCAGACUUUUCCCAAAUUCCAGAAAUAUUUGAAAAAAAAAAAGAUUUUUUUUCUUCCAUCUUAAGAGCUACAUUAUUCCUUUUCCCUCUAUCAAAUUCUUCGCAAUCUCUCUAUUUUUAAUUUCUGCCCUAUUAGGGUUUCUUUUCUCUAUUCCUUCUUGAAAUUCUUGAAAUCCUUAUUGCUGCCUCAACCUUUCUUCCCCUGUUCCUAUAAUUUUUUCUUAUCUGAGAAACAAAAUUUUCUGACAUCCUACCCAACCUUCUACAAGAUGAUCAUGGAAGGCCAUCCUUGGGAACAGAAGUUACUUCAUAGGAUUAUGAAAAUUGUCAAAAGAGGAUUAAAAAGGCAAGAAGAAUUGUUGUUUCAAAAAUUAGAGAAAUAUGAGAAGCCAUUUCAAGAGAAAAUAGACAAAGUGAUGGAAGCAAUUCAAGUGGUAAAGG